AGAGAGAGACAUGCGCGCAUAUCAAUAAGCGGAGGAAAAGAAACUAACAAGGAUUCCCUUAGUAACGGCGAGUGAAGCGGGAAGAGCUCAAAUUUGAAAUCUUCAAGGUCCUACCUUGACGAAUUGUAGUUUAUAGAAGUGUUUUCUGUUAGUGGAGUGGCAAAAGUUCUCUGGAAUAGGACAUCAUAGAGGGUGAGAAUCCCGUAUUUGGUCAUUCCUCCUAGCGUUGUGAUACACUUUCAACGAGUCGGAUAGUUUGGGAAUGCAGUCCAAAAUGGAUGGUAAAUUUCAUCUAAAGCUAAAUAUUGGCGAGAGACCGAUAGCGAACAAGUACCGUGAGGGAAAGAUGAAAAGAACUUUGAAAAGAGAGUUAAACAGUACGUGAAAUUGUCAAAAGGGAAGCGUUUGACACCAGUGUUGUUUUUCCGAAAAUCAAUUACGAAUGUUUUAUUUUUGAGGAGUUAUGACUUCAUCGGCUUGCUCCUUUCUUUACUGAAACUUUCUUAAUGCACUUUUCGGUUAACAAGUCAACAUCAAUUUCUUUUGUUGUAAAAGGGUAUGAGGAAGGUGGCUUUCUUUUCGGAGAAAGUGUUUAUAGCCUUGUGCCUCUGCAAUCGGAGAGAUUGAGGUCUGCAGCGUAGAUCCUUCGGGGUUAGAUACGUUUGUGCUAAGUUAUAGCUUUUCAUAGACAACUUGUUGACUAUGUUUAGUCUUGUAGCCUACUCGCUGACGCUAUUUUACCUACGCUUAGGAUGUUGAUAGUCACAGCGUGUAC
rnacentral:rRNA from 1 species